GACGAACGCUGGCGGCGUGCCUAAUGCAUGCCAGUCGCACGCAGCACCUUCGGGUGCUGGGUGGCGAACGGCUGAGGAACACGUGGGGACCUGUCCGGGAGUGGGGGACAACACCGCGAAAGCUGUGCUAAUCCCGCCUACGCUCUGAGGAGGAAAGCCGAAAGGCGCUCACGGGUGGCCCUGCUGCCCAUCAGGUUGUUGGUGAGGUAACGGCCUACCUAGUCAAUGACGGGUCGCUGGUCUGUGCGGUCGACCAGCCAGACUGGGACUGGGACACGGCACAGACACCUACGGGAGGCGGCAGCAAGGAAGUUUCGUCGACGGGCGCAAGCCGGACCGAGCAACGGCGCGUGAAGGAGGACUGCCGGCGGGUUGUAGCCUGCUUCUGCUAGGGAUCGUAACAGACAGUAACUGGCGAAGCAGCACCGGCUAACUCUGUG
rnacentral:rRNA from 1 species